GACGGAGGAGGCAAGCGUUAUCCGGAAUUAUUGGGCGUAAAGCGCACGUAGGCGGCUUUGCAAGUCGGAUGUGAAAUCCCUCGGCUUAACCAAGGAAGUGCAUCCGAAACUGCAGAGCUUGAGUACUUAAGAGGAUCGCGGAAUUCCCGGUGUAGAGGUGAAAUUCGUAGAUAUCGGGAGGAACACCAGUGGCGAAGGCGGCGAUCUGGGAAGAUACUGACGCUGAGGUGCGAAAGCGUGGGGAGCAAACAGG
rnacentral:rRNA from 1 species